rnacentral:tRNA from 1 species
GCCAAGAUAGCUCAGCUGGUAGAGCAGCGGUAUCGUAAACCGCAGGUCGAGGGUUCGAUCCCCUCUCUUGGCUCAA